rfam:Ovis aries breed Texel chromosome 16, whole genome shotgun sequence.
UCCCUGGUGGCUCAUUUGGUAAAGAAUCUGCCUGCAAUGCAGGAGACCCAGGUUUGAUCCCUGGGUUGGGAA